UUAUCUACGUUCAUUUACUUCUGAGUUUAUUUGAAAGGCUAUGUUUUCAUAUUAUUAUUCUGUGUGUUGUAUACUUGACUCCUUUCUCGUGUGGUACUUUAUUAACUGUUUCUUGGGUGUUUGCCUGUAGGCUAGAAACAUUUACACAUUAUUGUGUUAACAGCUUCCUGAUGAAACUGAUUGGUAACGGUCAGCCUCAUGCCCUUGUAAGGGCAUGUCCACAGAAGGUCCCAGAACAUCUUGUGGUUCUUCUAAGGGCAUGUCCACAGAAGGUCCCAGAACAUCUUGUGGUUCUUGUAAGGGCAUGUCCACGGAAGGUUCCAGAACAUCUUGUGGUAAAGGUUGUGGUAAAGGACUGUGUGAAAAAGCCCAACCUCCUUCCUUGUAAUCAUAAUAAAAGGCAGUAGGGGAAUGAGAGCCGGCAGAGUUGAUCACAGACAGUGUUUGACGGCAGUUUCUCCGCGUCUGGCUCAGCUUCCCUCUUCUGCAGAAAAGUUAUUUGUGUUUUUGGUUGAUUCUUUGCAGGUUAGGAAUUAAAUAGACCCAACAUUUUGGAGGCUCGUUCGGAUUCCCAACAUACUUCCACUGACGGAAGGAGUACGACGCGCUGGAAUCUGCUGGCAGUCAGGUUCUUCGGACCUGUCCUGAAAAGUCCCGGGGGGUAACUUCCUCGCUGGGCCAGCGUCUUAGGUCACCUCCUUCUGCCAUCGGCAGAUUGACGGGACUCGAACCAAGACAGAGCAGGAAUCAACCAAGUAAGUGAAAGACGAGUCAGCUUUGUGCCUUGUAAGAGCAUCCUAGAACAUCCUGUGGCAGAGUUCUCUGAAGAAACUAUCUGGGUGACUAUGUAAAGCAACCCAACCCUCUUUUCCUUGACGUGAUAAUAAAAAGCAGCUGAGAGAUUGGGAACCAAAUUAGAGCCAACAUCUUGGGGGCUCGUCCGGGAUCCCAACAUACCUGCCCUCUGAUGGAAGGAGUAGGAUGUGCUGAAAUCUGAAAAAAAAAGUAAAAGAAAAGAAAGCAACAAUCUAAAAGGUAGAGAGUGGGUAUUUUUACUCUUUUUCACCUUUAAGUAAAGAAAGCAACUAUCUAAACAGUUGAUAGUGGGUAUUUUUACUCCUUUUUCACCUUUAAGUAAAGAAAGCAACUAUCUAAACAGUUGAUAGUGGGUAUUUUUACUCCUUUUUCACCUUUAAGUAAAGAAAGCAACUAUCUAAACAGUUGAUAGUGGGUAUUUUUACUCUUUUUCACCUUUAAGAAAAGAAAGCAACUAUCUAAACAGUUGAUAGUGGGUAUUUUUACUCUUUUUCACCUUUAAGUAAAGAAAGCAACUAUCUAAACAGUAGAUAGUGGGUAUUUUUACUCCUUUUUCACCUUUAAGUAAAAAAGCAACUAUCUAAAAGGUAGAUAGUGGGUAUUUUUACUCUUUCUUCACCUUGUGAAGUAAAAAUUGUUUUAUUAUUUCUUUCAACAAUUUUAUUUAAUUCUUUUACUCAUUUAACCACAUCAGUUUUGUUCAACCUGUUAGAGUAUGAAGACUAGAGAAUCUCUGCAGAACCAGUUAGAUAGGUUUCUUGUUGACCUCUCCCUGCAGCAAUUGCAGCAGCCUGCUAGCGGCAGCAAGGCACCAGAAUUUGUUAACAGAAAAGAACAGACAGUUUAGAUAGAAGUUCUGAGGCUUAAGUAGUUUCUCUAUGGAAAAUCACCAGCUCAGAGUUUCAAGAGUUUGAUGCACCUGCUGGAUAUUCUGGUUUGAAAAUGUUGUUAUGCAAAAUUGUUCCAUUAUCAAACCUGAUUUAUUUGGAAACUCACAUAUUUGAACAAGAAGAUGUUUAUCAUCCAAGGAGUUAACUGACCCUCCAGUGUGAUUACGUGGCUUGUAUAUUGUUCAACUGAAACUGGAAUGACUACAUUGUGUAACAUGAGUUACACAAUGCAGCAAGCUAUUGUGAGAGCUUGCAGCUCCAAAUCAGAACUCAGAGCAGCUUGCUGCUGUGUUUGUUCUCCGUCUGCAGACGAAAUAAAGCUUUGCUCUUUGCCAUUUGCCAGAGUCUCAGCCUGAUCUGUUAUUACACAAGAUUUUUGUCCACAACCUUUAAGUAAAGAAAGCAACUGGUUAAGUAUUGGAACCACGAAGGGAAAGAAUUGAAAGCUAUGAAGGGAAAUAUUUAAAAGGGUGAAGCCUAAAAGCAGUGGGAGAGUGGGUGAUGGCUUGUUGUCGUCAAUGCUCCACUCAAUUAACCGUUGAGUCAAAGUGAGAAUUGCCACAAUAAGAACUUGACCGUCACCCUGCUCUCCAUAUUCCCGUUCCGUAUAGACCACCCGAGGUGUGUAAGGAACGGGGCUAAAACACUGAAAAAUGGGUUCUUCACAAGGCAAGUAGGGAGGUCUUAAGGAGUCUGGUGUAACUGGCGUGUUGAAAAUAGGACAAUGGAAAAACGUGGUGUGUAGGUUGAAAACAAGCGCUAGUUCAAAGACUGGUACCAGACAACAGAAAAAAUUAAAAGUGCUUGAGGUUGCACGUAGCUGGCUAACACAAGCACAAAAUAAACAAACUGCGAGCGCUAAAAAUACAUCAAAUCAAAAAACAGAAGCUAUGUUUGUCAGAUCGGAAGAUAACGAAACUCAACCCCGAACUGGAGCGCGUGUACAACGACCCCCACCCCCAACCUCUGACUUAGAUCCAAGCGAGGACGCUCCCGAAGCAUCAGGGGGUGUGCCAACAGGCCGGCCUGCCAAAAAAGAAAAAAAACAAGCAACACAAGGCCCGUCUCAUGAAUUUGGCCAAGCCUUGCAAUUUUCCUUAGGGAAAGACUGGGCAAAAGUCCGGGGCAAUUAUACUGGACACUCCUCCCCUGACCCAACGAAUGUACUCCCACACCAGGGUCCCAGUUGUAGUGAACAACAAAAUCAGUGGGAUGGAUUACAACAAAGGGUUAAGGAAGUCUAUGCUAGACACACGGAUUAUUCCCACCUUAGAUCAGUAAAACAAAAGUCCGGGGAGGAUGUAGAUGAUUUCAAAAUCCGCUUUGAAAAAGAAAUAUUGAUUCCACAGCGACAUCCCAUAUGAUGACCGAAAUAACUCCCCUUACCAACAAAAACUUAAAAAUAUGCUAAGGUCAGGUUUCCACCCACCUAUUACUAAAUGGAUCAGAAAACAUCAAGUGGCAUUUAAUACCUCCACCGUUCAGGAGCUGAGCGUCACGCUGAGAAACAUGCAACAAAGGCAGGAGAAAGUGCAAGUGGACACAGACUGUGCAGUGGGCU